rnacentral:rRNA from 1 species
AAUUAAGUUAAUUAGGGCGUACGGCGGAUGCCUUGGCAUUUGAAGGCGAUGAAGGACGUGGUAAGCUGCGAUAAGCCUCGGUUAGGUGCAAACAACCUUUCAACCGGGGAUCUCCGAAUGGGACAACCCAAUCAAAGUAAUGUUUGAUUACUCCAGUCUGAAUAUAUAGGAUUGGUAGAGCUAACGUAGGGAAGUGAAACAUCUCAGUACCUACAGGAAGAGAAAACAAUAGUGAUUUCCUUAGUAGCGGCGAGCGAAAGGGAAACAGCCUAAACCAAUAUAGCUUGCUAUGUUGGGGUUGUGGGAUAUGAUUUGAGAUUUAUCUCGAUGAGUCAAAAAAUGUUUAAUUAGGAAAAUAGUUCAGGAAAGUUCUGGCCAUAGAGGGUGAUAGCCCCGUAUCCGAAAAUUAUUCAUCUCAUUUGAUCAUACUCCCGAGUAGGGCGGAACACGAGAAAUUCCGUUUGAAUCUGCCACGACCACGUGGUAAGGCUAAAUACUCUCAAAUGACCGAUAGUGAAUUAGUACCGUGAGGGAAAGGUGAAAAGUAAGCUUAACAGCUAGUGAAAUAGUACCUGAAACCGUAUGUCUACAAUCUGUCGAAGUCCGCAAGGACGACGGCGUGCCUUUUGCAUAAUGAGCCAGCAAGUUACUCGUAUCUAGCAAGGUUAAAUAUCUCAGAUAUGGAGCCGUAGGGAAACCAAGUCUUAAUAGGGCGUUUAGUUAGGUGCGGUAGACGCGAAACCGAGUGAUCUUACCAUGAUCAGGUUGAAGCAUCAGUAAAAUGAUGUGGAGGACCGAACCCACUUGGGUUGAAAACCGAGGGGAUGAAUUGUGGUAAGGGGUGAAAGGCCAAUCAAACUCGGUGAUAUCUCGUUCUCUUCGAAAUGCAUCUAGGUGCAGCGUUACAGUAAAGUGUCAUGGAGGUAGAGCACUGAAUGGGCUAGGGGGCAUACCCGCUUACCAAACCCAAUUAAACUCCGAAUGCCAUAGACAUGUUUUGUAGCAGUGAGGCUAUGUGAGAUAAGUUUCAUAGCCGAGAGGGAAACAACCCAGACCUACAGCUAAGGCCCCUAAAUUAUAACUAAGUGAUAAAGGAUGUACGUCAGCAUAGACAGCUAGAAGGUUGGCUUAGAAGCAGCCAUUCCUUUAAAGAAAGCGUAACAGCUCACUAGUCAAGGUGAUGUGCGCCGAUAAUUUCCGGGACUCAAGUUAUAUGCCGAAGCUUAGGACUUUGCUUUGCAAAGUGGUAGAAGAGCGUUCCAUCAACCGUCGAAGGUAGAUUCGUGAGAACUACUGGAGGAAAUGGAAAUGAGGAUGCUGGCAUGAGUACGCGAUAAAACACGUUAAAUUCGUGUUCACCGUAAGCCUAAGGUUUCCUGAUCAACGUAAAUCGUAUCAGGGUUAGCCGGCCCCUAAGAUAAGACCGAAAGGUGUAGUCGAUGGGAAUCAGGUUUUAAAUAUUCCUGAGCCUCCGAACCUUAAACUAGGACAUCCAUCAUCCAGAUUUUAUAUGCUUAUUGAUUUGUGUAUAAAAAGUAAGUGGUGGCAAGAAAAAGCCUAGUGUAUGCUAAGGAGACCGUACCGCAAUCCGACACAGGUAGGCGAGAUGAGUAUUCUCAGGUGCUUGAGUGAAUUCUGGUUAAGGAACUCGGCAAAUUGGCCCUGUAACUUCGGGAUAAAGGGUGCCCACUUCGGUGGGCCACAGUGAAAAGGGGGUAGCGACUGUUUACUAAAAACAUAGGUCUAUGCUAACACGUAAGUGGAAAUAUAUGGACUGACACCUGCCCGGUGCUGGAAGGUUAAGAGGAUGGGUUAGAUUCUUCGGAAUCGAAGCUCGGAAUUGAAGCCCCAGUAAACGGCGGCCGUAACUAUAACGGUCCUAAGGUAGCGAAAUUCCUUGUCGGGUAAGUUCCGACCUGCACGAAUGGUGUAACGACUUCCCCACUGUCUCGACCAGAAGCUCAGCGAAAUUGUAGUGCCGGUGAAGAUGCCGGCUAAUCAUAGAAGGACGGAAAGACCCCGUGAACCUUUACUAUAGCUUGAUAUUGAUUUUUAAUCUUGUAUGUGUAGGAUAGGUGGGAGACUUUGAUGCAGGCACGCUAGUGUUUGUUGAGUCACCCUUGAAAUACCACCCUUAUACUAUUGGAAAUCUAACCAUGCACCUUGAAUCAGGUGUUGGGACAGUGUCUGGUGGGUAGUUUGACUGGGGCGGUCUCCUCCCAAAAAGUAACGGAGGAGCUCAAAGGUUACCUCAGCACGGUCGGUAAUCGUGCGAAGAGUGCAAACGCAUAAGGUAGCUUAACUGCAAGACAGACAUGUCGAGCAGAUGCGAAAGCAGGAGUUAGUGAUCCAGCGGUCCCGUGUGGAAGGGCCGUUGCUAAUCGGAUAAAAGGUACUCCGGGGAUAACAGGCUUAUCUCCCCCAAGAGCUCAUAUCGACGGGGAGGUUUGGCACCUCGAUGUCGGCUCGUCGCAUCCUGGGGCUGGAGAAGGUCCCAAGGGUUGGGCUGUUCGCCCAUUAAAGCGGCACGCGAGCUGGGUUUAGAACGUCGUGAGACAGUUCGGUCCCUAUCCUCUAUGAUCGUAGGAAAUUUGAUGGAAUCUGCUUCUAGUACGAGAGGACCGAAGUGGGUAAACCUCUAGUGUACCUGUUGUUACAUCAGUAGCAUCGCAGGGUAGCUAUGUUUAUUAAGGAUAAGCGCUGAAAGCAUAUAAGCGCGAAACCUAUCCAGAGAUAAGAUUUCCUUGUCUUUAUUGACAGUAGACUUCCGGUAGACUACCGGGUAUAUAGGCCACAGAUGUAAGUAUAGUAAUAUAUUCAGUCGAGUGGUACUAAUUAGUCGUCAAACUUAAUUAA